rnacentral:rRNA from 1 species
UACGAAGGGGGCUAGCGUUGCUCGGAAUCACUGGGCGUAAAGGGUGCGUAGGCGGGUCUUUAAGUCAGAGGUGAAAUCCUGGAGCCCAACUCCAGAACUGCCUUUGAUACUGAAGAUCUUGAGUUCGGGAGAGGUGAGUGGAACUGCGAGUGUAGAGGUGAAAUUCGUAGAUAUUCGCAAGAACACCAGUGGCGAAGGCGGCUCACUGGCCCGAUACUGACGCUGAGGCACGAAAGCGUGGGGAGCAAACAGG